AUACCGCAUCGCAUCGCAUCGCAUCGCAGUUUUGUGUGGGCGCCCUUAGACACGGUCAGUGAUCUAAAGAUAAAGAUAACAAAUUAGGAGGGAACAUAAUAAUUGUACAUAUAUCAUCAUUAUAACCCUAACUAAUUCUAUGUGUACGUUCUGCAUUUCAGUUAUUAUUAUUAAUUUUCUUGCGUAAACCCUAUUGGUGAUAAAUAUAUUAUUAUUUUCCUUUUUUACAUUUAUUCACAACUAAAAAACUAAAAACCGCACUGGUAGUCUUUUUAUUAAAUUGUAAAUAUCUUGACAAUGUGUACAUUUAUUUCUUACUUUUAUUUUUUUAGUUUACUUUUUAUAAAAAAAAUAUAUUUUACUAACAUCAAUUCUUUUACUUUGUUUAACCAUGCUUUUUAAAUUAUUUUGGCCGAUUUUAGUUCCUUUUUUUUUUGAAGUAUUCUGUUUAGAUCCACGCUGUGUAGUCUCGUCGCCCGGUCGUGGGGAGAGCAUGUCUUGUUAGGUGAGUAAGUGAAAAGAUAUUUAACGUUAAUAUUUUUUAAAUCGGACAGUUGAAGUAUUCCAAGUUCUUGUUGGUUUGUCUGUUUGACAUCUACCAUAAGCGAUGUGAAUUAUAAUACUAACAACAAAUCGCCGAUUUGAGCAUUGGUCGCCAAGAACGCGGCUGGUUAUGGAUUGGUUAUCGUCAUAGUGAAAGGGCCCAACUCACCCAUAUUGUGGUAUUUUAAUUUCUUCACUUGUUUUUCAGCCAUCGAUUCCAAGAAGCUGUCAUGGACGCGGUCGCAAAUCGUCUUCGUGUGUAAUGUGUCUUGUCAAAGCAAGGUUUCAUAAGCUGAGCGUGCGAUAGAAGCUCUGCGUUUUUUUAUAAUUUUUGCGCACAAACAGCGACUAGUAAUUAAAUAUGAUAAUUUUGGCUCUUAAAAGGUGUUCUAUUUAUUUUUAGCUGUGCCACAGCGGCGUUUGGAGUCGUUUGCAGUUGGGUAUUUUGAGCACAUUAUGGCGAGUAGGAAAAGACCCUGAGGUAGGAGUCCAAUUCGCUGGACAGACCAAAUGAGCUCCAUCCUUAACAGCAGUCUGUGACACCAUCCACGCCGCUGAAGAUGGCGAAAGAUAGGAGAAACUUCAUCGAGGUCUAGACCCUCAGCAUUGAGAACAGUAGACACAAGGAGGAUAUCUGCAUACCCAUGUCUACAUCACUGUGAUGGUCAUACGUCGUUUCAACAGGGACAUAAGCUUUGUACCUUCACCUCCAUCAUUGACCUUCCUGGCCACAUCAACAUCACGUCUGUCUACAACAAGAUCUUGCUGGAUUAUCUAAUAGGUCUAUCUCAAAUAAUGCCCCUAAGAUGUCAUUCACUUUAAGUUUCUCUCUAAGCAUCCUGUUUUUAAAUUGUGGCACUCAUAACGUCAUCGUUUACGUUUUCUUCCACCUUCUAAAUUACAUUUUUUUUUAAUAUAAACUUUGCGUUCCAACUUAACCACUUCUUAAUAGGUAGUUCCUUAUCAAUGUAAUUAUAUUCAAUUUUAGGUAUUCGAUGUUGUUCUAAGAUUGGUCAAAAUAAGGCAAUAAUUUUGAAAUGUAUAAUCUGCAUGCAAAUAUAAACUUUGUUUAAAUAUGAGGAAAACAGAAUAAUCUAUAAAUCUUUAUUUGGUUCACAUUAAUGAUCCCUAAUUUUAUUAGACUCCAGCUAUUGCAGAGGUACCUACUUAUAUAUCAGUUACAAAAGUCAGACCUACAGUGUCUUACUAUUUUAUUUUU